CUGGUUUGUACUAGCACUAAUAGAAAUCUAACAUAGAAUUUUGACUAAGAGAAAGCAUUAGAAUUAUAAUAGCGUUCCCCUCUUUAAGAGAAAUGAUGGUUCUUUGGCCUGGUUUUGACAAGGGAGAGCCAGGACUGGGUGUUUGAGGAUGUAGAGCAUCUCUCUCUGCACUUAUGCAUGAGUAUUAGCAGUUAAUGAUUGUGCAUUUUGGAUGAAUCGUCUAUGUCUAUAUGAUAGAACACAAUCCUUCCAACACCAUCAGAUGUUCUAUUACUAAUUAGUUACUUCUUCUUAUUUAUUUAGUAAUCAGUGUUUGUUUCAGAACAAGGGGAAAUCUCUAGUAGUGCUGCAUUAAUCUUGUCAACCUUGUUGAGUGUUUUUGUUUUUUUGGCAACUUUUGAAGCAAACACUUGGAUAUCAUUUUUAUAUAUCUUGCCUGGCUAUUUUCACUAAAAUCUUGAGAACGCAAGUUGUUUAUGGUUUUUCUCAAUGUGAAUUAAAUUUCUUAAUCCUUUGAGAUAAUUGUGGUAUUGUUUGCAUGGUGUGUAGUGUAGGAGACCCUUUCAAAGAUACAGCUGGACCUUCACUACAUGUGCUC
rnacentral:misc_RNA from 1 species